CAAAGUUCCCCACCACAGAGAAGAAUCUCUCUUUAUUUCUUUCACUCUCACACAACCAAAAUUUUCCAAACUCUCUCUCUCUCUCCACCAUUUCUGCACUUCAAUUUAUUCACCUCUGACACCUUCUUAAUUCUGCUUCCAUGGCUAUGAUCUCUCCUCACUCCCACAAUUCCCACAUUAUGCUCAUCCUCAUCACCUGCUUCUUUCGUCAUAAAUUCUAGAUCAAACUGCACACCCUCAUCUUUUCUUUUACUGCAUAUGGCUUUUCUUUCAACUCAAAUCAAUUUCACCAUCACCACCACCCUUUAAUCUCACAAAAACUUCUCAAAACCUCAAAAACUCCUCUUCCCAUGGCGGGUGGCAAGCUUCAUGCUGCUUCAACCAUGUCGCUUCUCCUCCAAAACGAAAGGCUCCCUUGCUCCUCUGAAGUCCUUGAGUCUCUUUGGGCUCACACCUCUAACCCUGCUUCCUUCCAAGGUUCAAAAUCUAUGGUUGAUUUUGAGAAUGUUAGUGGGGGCAGGGUGACGGAUAGGCCGUUUUUUCAAGCGUUGGAGAAGGAAGAGAACUGUGACGAUGAUUAUGAGGGGUGCUUCCAUCAACCGGGUAAGAAAAGGAGACUCACAAGCGAACAAGUUCAGUUCCUAGAAAGGAACUUUGAGGUGGAGAACAAGCUUGAACCUGAAAGGAAGGUCCAACUUGCGAAGGAGCUUGGGUUGCAGCCAAGGCAAGUGGCUAUAUGGUUCCAAAACCGAAGGGCAAGGUUCAAGACGAAGCAGCUAGAAAAAGACUAUGGCACAUUGAAAGCUAGUUAUGACAGACUCAAAGGUGACUAUGAAAGUCUUGUUCAAGAGAAUGACAAGUUAAAAGCAGAGGUGAAUUCUCUGGAGAGCAAAUUGAUUCUUAGAGAUAAAGAGAAGGAGAAUUCGGACGACAAGUCAUCUCCUGAUGCUGUCAAUUCACCCCACAAAGAGCCUAUGGAUUUAAUUUCAAAUUCAACAUCUGAAAAUGGGACCAAAGUGUCACUCCCUAUUAUGGUAACAUGCAAGCAAGAAGAUGCCAAUUCAGCGAAAAGUGAUGUGCUUGAUUCGGACAGCCCACAUUGCACUGAUGGGAACCAUCCCUCUUCAUUCGUGGAGCCUGCUGAUUCCUCCCAUGCUUUUGAACCAGACCACUCAGACUUUUCUCAAGAUGAAGAGGAUAACCUCAGUGAAACCCUUUUGACACUACCUUGCUUACCGAAGGUUGAAGAACCCUGCUAUGAUCAUCCUCCUGAAAACCCUUGUAAUUUUGGCUUCCAUGUUGAGGAUCAAACCUUCUGUUUCUGGCCCUAUUGAACCCUCCAACCACUUCCAAUGUUAUAAAACUUCGCACUUGUAACCAUCUACUUCAAGCAAUAAAAUUGGUACUACUUCUACCAUAAAA